rfam:Riemerella anatipestifer RA-CH-1, complete genome.
CUAUCGGCUUCUUUUGAUGAUGCUUUGGAAGCCAUAACAUUUUUACAAAAAAACCAAGU